AUGGAUUCAACAGAAGACGACACAUAUGCUCGGGUUUUGUUGAGGGGAAUUCUGCACACAGUUAUGAAGAUCUCCUGUAACCAGAAGUGCAACAAAUAUACUUCAGAGCAUGAGGCUGAAAAACACCCCGGACUGGAGAGUACUGGAUCUGCCUUACAACACAAACUCAAGAAGAAGCUCCAUGAGAGUGCCUCCCUGUCAUCCCUCCCUUCACCUAAACGGCCAAGGUCAGCCGUGCCAAAGACAUACCCCUCUGGUACGGUCCCAUCCCCAGUGUAUGAUGAUGAGGACAUGACCCCUCGUGGCCUGCUCAUUGGGAUCAUUCAGAUGGAGAACAAAGCAUCGCUGCUGAUGUCUGGUCAGCCUGCACUUCAAGAAUCAGAGCUGAAUCCAGCCGACACCGGUGUGUCCAGCGCUGGAGAGAGAACGUCAGUAAUCCUCUUCAUGUUGUGCUCAUGUGUCUGUGUUUUCCUCAGUGGAGCUCUGUCUGGAGUGGAGCGGUCUGAUCUGACUCUGAACACUGAACUCCUGACGCAUGUAGUCAGAGGACCGAGCCGCAGGAAACCACCACAUGCCUUCAGUGCAUCAGCGUUCGAGAAACUGUUAGAUCAACAGCUAGACAACACAGAGGAUGACUCGCAUGUCUCUCAUAAAAGUUACAUCUCUGAGAAGAAAGCGGAUGCAUCUCAAGAUUUAGAUUGGUCUUCUGGCUCAAAAAGAAGUUGGACCCAGCAGACCCAAAACCAAUUUCAUCAUCACUGCGGGACUGAGUCACACUGCUAA
rnacentral:lncRNA from 1 species